rnacentral:lncRNA from 1 species
GCAGUAUUCACACUUAUACUCAUUCCGUGAAUAAUUUGCCUGCUUCAUAGUCAAUUUUUUGCAAGUAGCUCAAAGUCAUCAUUCACUGCAAAUCACUGGUUUGUUUGGUGGAUAUCGAAAAUUGUUUAAACUACAAACAACAAUAAUGGAACAUUACGUAUAAAAAUAUAAUUCAGAAGCUGGAUGCUAUUAAGACCCGUACGGUAAAUGUGGUAUUGAUGACCUUCUCACUGCCAUACAAAAGCCAUUAAAAGGCAAAAAAAGGCCGAGGUGGAAGCGCAUUUCGCGUCAAAGCGGCAAAGAUGCACCACUCAAUUAUAGCAGGAUCAGC